rnacentral:pre_miRNA from 13 species
UCCAGGGCAGAUUGAUGGUGUCACACACAAUGCUGGGAGACGUCAUCACGUGCUACCUCCGGUGAUGUCAGCACCCAGCACCAUGAUGUCCACCGAGAACAACGGG